CCGGUUCCCGUUGGUGCUACGUGUCGCUGCGAUGGCCGCCGCCAGCCGGACUUGCGUGCAGGGGCGUUCGCGGCGGGGCGAGCGGUGACAGAUGUAUCUGAAGAGGCCGGCGGGUGGCCUCGCUUUCUGCCUCUUCUACCUGGCGUCCUGUUUCACCAACAAGUAUGUCCUGUCUGUCCUGCAAUUUACCUACCCUACCCUUUUUCAAGGGUGGCAGACAUUAGUGGGUGGACUUCUGCUUCAUGUCUCCUGGAAGCUGGGCUGGGUGGAGAUAAACUUGUGUUCAAGGUCUGAAAUCCUGUCGUGGCUUCCUGCUUCAGUACUUUUUGUGGGCAUUAUUUAUGCUGGCUCUAGGGCACUGUCUAGAUUGCCAAUCCCAGUGUUCCUCACCGUGCACAGCGCGUCAGAAGUUAUAACUUAUGGGUUCCAGAAGUGUGUGCAGAAAGAGCAGACCUCUCAUCUGAAAGUCUGUAGUGUGCUGUGCCUCCUGAUAGCAGCAGUGUGCCUUCCUUUAUGUGACCCACAGUUUGAUCCAAAUGGUUAUUUAUGGGCUCUAAUUCACUUGAUCUGUGUUGGGGCUUACAAAGUAUUUCACAAGUUGUGGAAACCUAACUCUUUAAGUGAUCUGGACCAACAGUACAUCAACUAUGUAUUCAGUGUGGUGCUGUUGGCUUCUGCAUCCCAUCCAGCAGGUGAUCUCUUCAGUGCCUUGGACUUCCCAUUCCUGUACUUCUACAGGUUUCAUAGCAGCUGCUGUGCCAGUGGUCUGUUGGGAUUCUUUCUGAUGUUGCACACAGUGAAGCUAAAAAGCAGCACAACCUCAGGGCAAUAUGCAGCAUGGAGUUUCCUUGCAAAGGUUAUCACUGCUAGCUUAUCACCGUUCUUCUUUGUCAUGACUGCCAAUGUGCUAACAGUUUCUUGUUCUGUUUCGGCUUGUGCAUCAGCAGUGCCUUGGCUUAUCAGCAAAGCUCUGGAAAUAGUUUGUUAGAUGACAGCAGCUGCAAAGCACUCACAAGAUCAUUAAUCACUGAGUUUUUUAGUAUUGCUCCAGUGUUGUCAUGGACAAUAUCAUAUGUUAAUUUCUGAGUGAUGGAUAAAUGCAGUUAGCUGUCAUCCCGCAAUAAACAGAAGCUGAAGGAUUUGCCAGAUGGUAAAUUGAAGAAAAAAAGGGAGCCCUCUUACAAUUGAAAUAACAGAAGUUCGUUUUGUUUAUAAAGUUCAUUAAGGAGCUUUUCUGUUUCAUAAGCUAACUAAACCAUGGAGCUAAGACGAAAGCCUUGUGACCAGUGGAGUUGGAGAAGCUUUGCUUGUUUACACUGAAAGGACAGGCACAUAAAGAGGAACCAGACCUAACCAGCUGGAAAAGAGCUGACUUGCAGCCUGGAGAUCCUGUCAUGAAUAAAAUGUGGCAGCAAGAAUGAAGAAGUUCAACCAAACACGAGGAAAAAGACUUUUUCUUUAUUAUUAAGACAGAAAAGCUAUGCUAUUAUUAGUGCUGGUAAGACAGCAGCAUAGUUGGCAGGAUGGUUAGGAGCCUUUGUCUCAAAGCACAAGACACACUAUUUCUGAUUGAUGUGGUAAAGGAAAAACUGCUCUGUCUCAUGCUGGUGGCUCUGUGUGAGAACCUCUCAGUAGCAGCUUCUUGCAGAGGGAACUGAAUUCAGGAAAAGCAGCAUCCCCACUGGAUGCCUCCAGUUCUUUUGUUGGAAGCUGACAGCAGGUUGUACUGUCAGACUCCAGAUCCUGCCAUGAAUUCGGGAUCAGGAAGGAUGGAUUUUGUCUCCAACUGUUCUGUAAGCAGCAAGCUGCCACACACAGGUCUCUAGUCAUGUCGUCUGAGCUGGCACAGUGACUGACAUGGGGCUUCUAGAGAUAAUCACAUCCUGGAACUGUGGCAGUUUGACAGCUUUGCAGAAUGGGGAAUCAGCAAUAAACCUCAGUAUCUGUA